GUUUGGCCAAAAAGUUCGUUUGGGUUUUUCCAUAACAUCUUACAGAAGAACCCAAACAAACUUUUUGGCCAACC
rnacentral:miRNA from 1 species